UACGGGGGGAGCAAGCGUUGUUCGGAUUUACUGGGCGUAAAGGGCGCGUAGGCGGCCACCGCAAGUCGACUGUGAAAUCUCCGGGCUUAACCCGGAACGGUCAAGUGAUACUGUCGGGCUAGAGUGCAGAAGGGGCAACUGGAAUUCUCGGUGUAGCGGUGAAAUGCGUAGAUAUCGAGAGGAACACCUGCGGCGAAGGCGGGUUGCUGGGCUGACACUGACGCUGAGGCGCGAAAGCCAGGGGAGCGAACGGG
rnacentral:rRNA from 1 species